GGGUAUUCUUGAUCACAUGGGAUUGGAUGAUCGCGGAGCAAACUGCUGCUAGAGGAUGGGCCUGCGGCGCAUUAGCUAGUUGGUGGGGUAACGGCCUACCAAGGCGACGAUGCGUAGCCGACCUGAGAGUGAACGGCCACACUGGGACUGAGACACGGCCCAGACUCCUACGGGAGGCAGCAGUAGGGAAUCUUCCGCAAUGGGCGAAAGCCUGACGCAACGCCGCGUGAGUGAUGAAGGUUUUCGGAUCGUAAAGCUCUGUUGCCAGGGAAGAACGUCCGGUAGAGUAACUGCUACCGGAGUGACGGUACCUGAGAAGAAAGCCCCGGCUAACUACGUGCCAGCAGCCCCCGGUAAUACGUAGGGGGGCAAGCGUUGUCCGGAAUUAUUGGCGUAAAGCGCGCGCAGGCGGCUGCUUUAAGUCUGGGUGUUUAAAACUUUGGGCUCCACCUGGGGGUCGCACUGGGAAACUGGGCAGCUUGGGUACAGAAGAGGAAAGUGGGAAUUCCCCCUGUUACCGUGAAUGGCGUAAGAGUGGGAAGGAACCCAGUGGCGAGGGACCUUUCUGGCUGUAACUACGCUUAAGAGAAACGUGUGGAGCAAACAG
rnacentral:rRNA from 1 species